GUCAAUGGGCGAGAGCCUGAACCAGCCAAGUCGCGUGAAGGAAGACUGCCCGCAAGGGUUGUAAACUUCUUUUGUAUGGGAUUAAAGUCGUCUACGUGUAGGCGUUUGCAGUUACCAUACGAAUAAGCAUCGGCUAACUCCGUGCCAGCAGCCGCGGUAAUACGGAGGAUGCGAGCGUUAUCCGGAAUUAUUGGGUUUAAAGGGUGCGUAGGUUGCAAGGGAAGUCAGGGGUGAAAAGCUGUAGCUCAACUAUGGUCUUGCCUUUGAAACUCUCUAGCUAGAGUGUACUGGAGGUACGUGGAACGUGUGGUGUAGCGGUGAAAUGCAUAGAUAUCACACAGAACUCCGAUUGCGCAGGCAGCGUACUACAUUACAACUGACACUGAAGCACGAAAGCGUGGGUAUCCAACAGGAUUAGAUACCCUGGUAGUCCACGCAGUAAACGAUGAAUACUAGAUCUAUGCGAUAUACAGUAUGGGUCUAAGCGAAAGCGAUAAGUAUUCCACCUGGGGAGUACGCCGGCAACGGUGAAACUCAAAGAGAUUGGCGGGGGUCCGCACAAGCGGAGGAACAUGUGGUUUAAUUCGAUGAUACGCGAGGAACCUUACCCGGGAUUGAAAUGUAGAUGCAUGAGGCUGAGAGGUCUCUUCCCUUCGGGGCUUCUAUGUAGGUGCUGCAUGGUUGUCGUCAGCUCGUGCCGUGAGGUGUCGGCUUAAGUGCCAUAACGAGCGCAACCCGCGUCGAUAGUUACUAACGAGUUAAGUCGAGGACUCUAUCGAGACAGCCGUCGUAAGACGUGAGGAAGGAGCGGAUGACGUCAAAUCAGCACGGCCCUUACAUCCGGGGCGACACACGUGUUACAAUGGUAGGGACAGCGAGCAGCCAUCUGGUGACAGAGAGCUAAUCUAUAAACCCUAUCCCAGUUCGGAUCGGAGUCUGCAACUCGACUCUGUGAAGCUGGAUUCGCUAGUAAUCGCGCAUCAGCCAUGGCGCGGUGAAUACGUUCCCGGGCCUUG
rnacentral:rRNA from 1 species